UACGUAGGGGGCAAGCGUUGUCCGGAAUCAUUGGGCGUAAAGAGCGCGUAGGCGGCCCGAUAAGUCCGCUGUGAAAGUCAAGGGCUUAACCCUUGAAUGCCGGUGGAUACUGUCGGGCUAGAGUCCGGAAGAGGCGAGUGGAAUUCCUGGUGUAGCGGUGAAAUGCGCAGAUAUCAGGAAGAACACCGGUGGCGAAGGCGGCAUCCUGGACCAAUACUGACGCUGAGGAGCGAAAGCCAGGGGAGCAAACGGG
rnacentral:rRNA from 1 species